AUUUGUACAACACACAUACACCUUACCAUUACACACACUGUGGGUUUUGACCCUUUUUUUCUCUCUCUCUCUCUCUUCAUUAUAGUAGCUUUAUUUGGUCCACCCCACUUUCUCUCUAUGCCUAAAUCCUAGGCCUAUCUUCUUUAUUUUUACUCUUUACCUGUUUACCAUUACUUCUCUGAAUUUGACCAUUUCUUAACGUUUUCAAUCUCACUGAUUACUUUGUACUAUAACUACUAAAACUUUGCUUUUUUUUUUUUUUUUUUCUGUUCUAGCGUCAACUCUAAAACAGUUUGUUGUGCUCCGCCUUUCUUGGGAAAUUUUUCAAAGUAACUGGUCUGUGUCUUACAUAUCAAGUAAGACUUUUCUAUAUUAUUCUGAUAAAUCCAAUUCAACCCAAGAAAAUAACAAGAUAAUUAUUUUAUAGCAACUAUGUAGACUUCUAUCCGUUGGAUCUUAGUUUCAAAUUAGAAAGAAGAGUUUCUUUCCAAAUUCAAUUUCUUAAUAGGCAGCAUAGGUAGCAUCCCUAUAAAAUAUAUAGUUCUAGGAUGUUCGAGUUUUGUGUGUGUAAUUUUUUCUUUUUGGAAAAUUUGAGCUACAAAUAUUUGUGGUCUUUUAACAUAGUUGUAUGUCAUAGAUCCUCGAUUUGGUUCUAGCUGUAUUGAAAUAGUUUUAGCUUUUAUGCUUCGAUUUUGUUAAAUUAAACUGAAAUUAAAUUUUUAUCCAACUUGAAUAAACAUGAAACUCAGUGAUUUAUGAUGUUCCCAUUCUUUUUUAUGUGGGAUUGGCGUAUUUCUUCUAUUUCUGCAUAGAAAAAUCAUUCCGAGAAUUUUUUCUUUUUUUUUAACUUGGAGUUUUUAAUGAAAGAAACUUAGAAAUAUGAGUGUUUACCAUAUCAUUUUUACAAAAUUUUAGAUUUUAUUUGAUAUGUCACUAAUAGGUACUUAUAGAGUCUUAUCUUCACUGAAAUGUUGCUAUUUUCUAUUAGUUUGAAAAUGACCCCUGAUCUUUUGCUUUAACCAAGUGUAGUAUUUGCUUUAUUUACUAUACUCCAUGCUCAGAUUUGUAGUUUUUGGUAUGGAUAGUUCAUUGUUUAGCUUGGUACAUAUUUCUUACCCUAUUAUUAUGUUUAAUUUGGUUGAAAAUUGAAUUUUUUUUAUUACUUGAAUUGGGUUCAAUUUUUUCCCUUGUGCGCCGGUGGUCCUUUAAUUUAGUUUUGAUUAUAUAUUCAACUGUGAAUUCCGUUGAAUUAAUUUUUUUAAAAAAAAAAAAAAAAAAAAACCAAUGCCAUUAAAUAAGUUUAAAUUGAUUCAAUGUAUUGAAAGAAAAGUGGAUCACUUCUUUCUAUUAUUUAGUUUAUUUUGGUGUGAGAGCUAGAUAUUUCUAAUUAAUAAAUUGAUGUAAAAUUAUAUUUGUGGGGAAAAAAAGGUUUGUAGAUAGAAUAUGAUUCUCUAAUGAAUUCCUUUAAUAAACCAAUUUAUUGUUGAGUUAUCAAACAUUAUAUGAUUGAGUUUGGUCAGAUAAACAGUGUCGGCUUUAAGAUUAGAGAUAAUAUAAUCUCUGGUGGUCUCUCUUUUUGUUUGUUAAUAUUUCCCAAUUAGGUUUUCAAGUAGGUCAUAAACUAUUGAAUUGUGAAAUAUUCCUAGAAAUAUAUAUUAGUUGGUGCAAAAUAGUUGGUCUAGAAAAAUUAAAAUUUAGAUACAUGCUGAUUGGUUGGUUUAUUACUAUUUAUUACCAUUCGCUGGUUUGGAUUUUAUUAACAUUAAAUUAUGUUAAAUCAUUAUAGUAGUGGAUAUAUAUACAUAGAUAGAUAUGUAUGUAUGUAUGUACGUUCGAGUAGCUUUGUUAAAUUAAAUUUAACCAAGUUUGAGUUUUUAAAAAAGAACUCGCUGAAUGUAAUUGUGUCUGUAAGAAGUAAAUCUGUCCAAUCCAUAUUCAGUUAAAUGUAAAUGUUGAUGGGUGUUCUGUUAACCCUAUCAGGAUUAAAUUAUUUGUCACCGACCAAUUUCUUAACUACUAAGGUUAGCAGUUAGUCGUAAUUAAAUGGUAUAAAUAUGGUGUUUGUGAUUAAUUAAUGUCCUUUUACCCCUUUUUGUUCUGUUUUUUCUUUUGAGCAGAAAGUUAUUUAUCGUCCUUUUAAAGUGGUUUGUUAUAAAAAGAAUCAUCCUUGUUAUCGUCAAAACUCAAAGUUUCUAACGAGUUGUUGUUUGUUAAUUACUACUAAGUUAUGUUACCAUAUUCUUGGUUUUUAUCUUUAGGUAGUACAUUUAAUAUUUCUCUUUCUUUGUUUAAAAGUUAAGUCUGGGUAUCCCUUCUAUUAUUUGUUUUAUUUUAAAUUUAAAACAUUACCUUCCAAGUAAUUAUAUAUAUAGAAAUAUGUAAGUAUGAGUUUUCCUUUUCUUUUGAGUACAACAAAUGUAGUCACUCCUAACUUCUAAUGAGGAAAUUCAUAUCAAUUACUUUUUUGGAGUUCUAUAUAUUUUUUCUGCAUUCUCUUGUUUCUUAUA